GUUACAGGCCUAAAACAAUGGCCGAAAGGCGUUCUGGAAUCCCGGUCAACCUGUCGUUCCUCUCAGCUGAGGAAACAGCCCACAGGCACGUAGGCGCCUCACCCCACGUGAAGCAGCCCCGGCAGCUGCCUCCUGAGGACGGGCUGCCCCCGGGCGUCAGGAGCUGUCACGGCCCUUCCCAGUAUUGUCCCGCCGUAGGGGGCGCUGUGCGGCGCGGCCGCCUCUCUGGUUCCGGAUGUUCGCUCGUUGGCGGGUCCCUUCCCGGCAUCCCCCGCGGCGGUAGCGGAGGCAGUCCCUGUUCCGUGACCUUCGGUGGCAACCGCGCUCUCCCGGCCUAACGAUGGUGCAAAAUAUGAUUCCAAAGUCAUGGAGAGCCAUGAAAUUCUACUUCACUACUGUUUACCAAGAAAUAUGGGUUGGUCUAGCAUUAACAGCGUAUGCCUAUUACAAAAUUUCGUACGGUGUAGGGAUCUUGAUGGCUAUAAAUUCUAAAUGCACGAGUCUUGGUUGAUGGAAGCAGUUAAAAAUCAAUAUAAUACUUACAGAAAUGUACCAUGAAAAGUGCAUCAUGUACAUUCAUUGAAGUUUGUUCAUGCUCAGUCAGCAAAUACUUGUUUUUCUUUCUCUCUAGGCAAAAAAGCAGUGGCGGAUAGUAAGUAUUAACUAUUACUUGUAUUAUUUUAAAUUAGUGCACUAAACAGAGCAUAUUUUACAUAAGCUUGGGUUUUAUUUAACCAAUUUAGUAGGUGUUUAAAGGCUGCCUCAAAGUAUGCAGUUUUAGUUGUUUGGAUGGUUUUGUAACCUAAAAGCAUUUGUGAAUCUGCCCAGAUGCUGCCUCCAUUUUCAAUUUUACUUUGCAUAGCUUUUAGGAGCAAAGUGGAAGUUGUAUGUCUUAAUAGGAUGG
rnacentral:lncRNA from 1 species